CAGUAGCUGCAUUAAAACCUGUAUCUGACCUCACACUUGCCAGAACUCCACAACUCAGUUCUAGCACUGGUGUUUGAAAUUUGCCAUCCCUGCUGUCCUUGAAAUGGAAAGCUCCUUUAAUACAGCAUCUUUCCAUAACACCAUGAUGAAGCUCUCUGAAAUUGUCUGAGCAACAGGCACAACAAUCCAUGCAGCUGAUCUCAAAAAGUAAUUAAAUACUCAUCAUAAGGUAAGUUCCUGGCAAAAUGACUGAGUUGGAGAUUUGGGUGCAGGAAGGUUACUGGGGGGGAGUCCUCUAGGUUAACACCAGUUGGGGAGUGAAGGAAACAGGAUUAGGUAGAGAGAGAAUUUGAUGCUGAUGCUGUCUCAACGAAGGUCUCAGUCACGGGGGAGCUCAAGCUAAGAUGGCUGGGCAGAGGUAUGUACCACAUUGAGGUAAGUGGCCCCGCACUGACCACCUGGGAACCACUCCAUGUGGUUCUAUCAGUGUGAACUGAAAGCAGCAGCAGUGCAGUUCUGGGUCUGGUCACCUCUUUAAGCAGCUUACAUUUACCUUCCAGUGCAGCUGUGCCCAGUGCUAUAUGUGUCACUCAUCUUAUGAAGCAUUGUUGAUGACCCAUCUAGCCUUAUGACUUGGGUCUGACAGAACCCCAGUCAUAAUAGGCAUUCUGGCUGCAUGAUCACUUGAUGUCCUAUGGGUAAGCAAGCACUUUGUUUCAAUUAGGACUCAGUAGCACAGCAGGAGCUUUUUUAUUUAUUUUUAACUUUCUUUUGAAAGGUGUAUAAUACUCUUUCAGAAGACAUGGCCUUGCUCAAGCAAAUUAGGGGUCUAUGUGUGACUUCUUGUCGAGGCUUGUCCUAAACAGCAUGUGGCAUCUUUUCCCAUUACUGACACCUCUCAUACAAUAGGGUAUCUUGUGGACCAAGCAGCAGGGACAUUUGUACCACACCUGGGAACCUCCAUAUGCCGUGGGAGCGGCCCAAGAAAUGGCAUAAAGACAAAAAUAAAUAAAAUUUUCUCUGAGUGUUAGAGGCAUGAAUAUGUGACAUGACAAAGAAUGGAAAGAAAAGACUGGCGCCAUAGAGUGGCUGUAGAAGGUCAGUCUAUACAGAGUCUUGUGACCCUCAUGACCCUUGAGGCAAAACGAAUGAGAACAACAUCAAAGAAUGGCAUCUUGAAAACAAGAUUGCUGAAGCACUGAUGUUGCUGAUGGAAAACCAUCAGCUCUGACAUUCUCAGGACUGGAGCCUUGGGGGAUUUUUGGGAGAGGCCAUAGAUGGCUUGAAGCAAACAACAAAUGACGGCCUGGGAGGGCUAAAGCAUUUAUGAUUACAUGUGCUUAGGAAUGGCUGUCCUAGCAUAUCUUGCUUCCAAUCUGAAGAGGAAUACCGAUGUAUCCCCUGCAUGUACAAGGAAGUAGAAAAUAGUAAAUAAAAACCAUGAGUCAGCUCCUAGGGUUGCUAUUGCGUCUGGAAGGCGGUAGCCCCCUGAUCCCCACUGUAUUUCUGUGUCUCUUUCUUCUUCUUUCUGCGGCACCAUUGACUUUGGGACCUGGGUUGACGAGCAGGCUUCAUCAAGUGGCGCCCAAACAGGGACCUGAAGCGGCUUAGAGUCUGCGAGACUAUUGAAAAGGUGCGAGCAGAUGCGGGGAAUUCAUGCUGAAAAGGCGACGGACGGGGAAAGUACCUGGAGGUGAGUACACCCCCGUGGAUUUUUUAAUCAGGGUAACAAUGGGGCAAUCUCCUUCUAAACAUGCAGAUUAUAUUAUUUUACUGAAAACUUUAUUACGUAGCUCGGGUGUGAAAGUGAAAGAUGAAAACUUUAGAGAAUUAUUUGAUGCGAUUCCUAAACAUUGCUACUGGUUGGAUCCUGAAAAGGGGACCCUGAGCGUAGAGAAAGUGAAAGAGGUGAUGCCCUGUUUGUGCCGUGCUUAUCAUUGUGGAGAGUCCAUUCCUCUGAGUGUUUGGUCCUUAUGUAACUUAAUACAGACUAUGGUAGCCCCUUUACAAUCUGAAAAUUCUGAUUCUUCUGAUUCUGAGAAAGAAGAUUUUCAAGAGCAUUCAGCAGUAAAUGAGGAUCAAGAUGACAGUAUUAAAUCUCAUAUUUAUGAAAAUAUUGAUAAAGGAAGUAAAGAAGGUCAAUUUGCUGAAUACUAAACAUAAACCUUAUGGUACUCACGCCUUCCCUGCUCCGCCAGCAUCAUUUUCUCCUGUUUCACAGCCCCCUACUCCGUGGCCAGAGCCUCAUAAUUUAAAAACAGAACCUCCACCAAUUGAUCCUAAUGUCCCUUGGGACCAUGGAACAUUUUUGACCUCUGUUACUAUACCUAACAAGAAUCCUCAUUUGUCUAGCUUUCAAAAAGCUAUUUUACAAGCAAGAAGGGAAGGAGACCUUGAUGCAUUGGUGCUUCCUGUACAGGCACAGAGAAUACCCCCAAUCCUCAAUUUCCUCAGGGUGGCAUUCAAUAUGAUUAUGAGCCAUUGUCUUUUAAGAUUAUAAAAGAAAUUAAACAAGCCUAUGCGCAACAUGGAUGUAAUUCUCCCUAUACCGUUGCACUUCUACAAGCAUUGGCCCCGUCCGAAUGUAUAAUUUCUUAUGAUUGGGAAAUGAUUGCCUGGACCUGUUUAACUACUUCAAAAUUUUUACAGUUUAAGACUUGGUGGCAAGACGAAGCUACACCAAUAGUUGGGCGCAACGCCACGGCCAAUCCACCUGUUAAUAUCAUUAUGGAACAAUUAAUGGGGACUGGGGAAUAUACAGGAAUUCAGAAUCAAUUACAAUUUGAUGAUAACAUAAUUGUUCAGGUUCGUUAUGUGUGUCAGUGGGCUUGGGAGAAGGUUAGUCCACCUGGACAAACCACCCCUUCAACUGUUAACAUUAGGCAAUCCCAUGGGGAGCCAUAUACUGACUUUAUAGCUAGAUUAACAGACAAACUUCAAAAAACUGUAGCCAAUCCAGAUCUGAGGGAGCUAUUAAUGAAAAUGUUGGCUUUUGACAAUGCUAUCUUGGAAUGUCAGAAGGUAUUGCAGCCCCUUAAAGCAGAAGAAAAACCUUUAGAAGAAUAUAUUAAAGCUUGUCAUGAUAUUGGCUCAGAACCGUAGAAAAUGCAAUUGCUUGCACAAGCUAUAGCAGGAAUACAAAGUAAAAAUAAUUCCAAUACUAAAUGUUUUAAUUGCGAAAAGAAGGGACAUUUACAAUUUACAAAUUGUAAACAAUCUCCUCGCUCUAAUAAUUAUAGGCCUUCUGUGAAACCGGUUAUAAAUAGUAAUAAGGAUAAUUCUCGAUCUCCCGGAUUAUGUCCCUGUUGUCAAAAAGGUAAUCAUUGGGCUAAUCAAUGUCGUUCUAAAUUUCAUAAGGAUGGUUCCCAGCGGUCGGGAAACUGGAAGAGGGGCCCUGCUCAGGGCCCCCAAAACAAUAUGAGCCAAAAUCAAACUUGGAACGCUGUUCCUUUUGUGUACCCUCAGAGCAGCCCGAACUUCAAUCAAACACCAACCAAUCCCCUCUUCUCACAAUAUCCCACUUAUUGCCCACAACAACAGGUGGCAUGGCCCUAGAUAUUUCUGUUACUGACAAUAUACUUCUAAUGCCUUCUAUGGGCAUUUAUAAGAUACCCACAGGAAUAAAGGGACCUAUAUACCCCCGAGGUAGUGUUGGAUUACUCCUGGGACAAAGUAGUUUAACUAUAAGGGAGUUGAGGUACUAUUGGGAAUAAUAGAUGAAGAUGAUCACGGUAAAAUUUUAUUAAUGAUAAAAAUGAAUAUACCUUAUCAAAUUAAUAAAGGAGAUAGUGGAAUUCCCAUUGUGGCGCAGUGGUUAACAAAUCUGACUAGGAACCAUGAGGUUGCGGGUUCGAUCCCUGGCCUUGCUCAGUGGGUUAAUGAUCCGGCGUUGCUGUGAGCUGUGGUGUAGGUUACAGACACGGCUCGGAUCCCAAGUUGCUGUGGCUCUGGCGUAGGCUGGUGGCUACGGCUCCAAUUAGACCCCUAGCCUGGGAAUCUCCAUAUGCAGCGGGAGCAGCCCUAGAAAAG
ensembl:lncRNA